UUGACUUUAACGCAGGCGUCUCAUAUUUUCGGUCUCGGCAGGUAGUUUGAUCAAAAAUAUGGUUAAACGUUGUGCCUGGGGCAUUUGUAAUACAGAUACGCGUUUCCCAGAAAGGUUGGAGGGGGGUGUCCGUUUUUUCCCCUUCCCAAAACCGAAGUCAAAUCCUGACAAGUGUCCUCACAGUCAGCUAAACCCCUCGAGGAUCAACAAGCACACUUUUGUGUGCUCUAAGCAUUUUGUUAAUGGAGAACCAAGUCCCGAAUCCCCAAAUCCAGUCCCUGCUAUUCCUGGUGGAGGAAGUGCAGUCAAAAGUCGAAGACUGCCAACUAAGAGAGGCAUCUCCACAGUAUCAGGCUCAUCAGUGCAGGACACCACAUCAGAGGAGUUGUCCAUGGUCAUUGAAA